CAGCUCGUGCCGUGAGGUGUUGGUUAAGUCCUGCAACGAGCGCAACCCUCGUCGCUAGUAAAUUUUCUAGCGAUACCGCCCGUAAAACGAGGAGGAAGGUGGGGAUGACGUCAAGUCAGCAUGGCCCUUACGCCUUGGGCUACACACACGCUACAAUGGGUGAUACAACGGGUUGCGAGAGAGCGAUCUGGAGCUAAUCCCUAAAAUCAUCCUCAGUUCGGAUUGCAGGCUGAAACUGCCUGCAUGAAGUUGGAGUUGCUAGUAACCGCAGGUCAGCACACUGCGGUGAAUACGUUCUCGGGGUUU
rnacentral:rRNA from 1 species